rnacentral:rRNA from 1 species
AGUGAACGCUGGCGGUAGGCCUAACACAUGCAAGUCGAACGGCAGCACAGUAAGAGCUUGCUCUUACGGGUGGCGAGUGGCGGACGGGUGAGGAAUACAUCGGAAUCUACUUUUUCGUGGGGGAUAACGUAGGGAAACUUACGCUAAUACCGCAUACGACCUACGGGUGAAAGCAGGGGAUCUUCGGACCUUGCGCGAUUGAAUGAGCCGAUGUCGGAUUAGCUAGUUGGCGGGGUAAAGGCCCACCAAGGCGACGAUCCGUAGCUGGACUGAGAGGAUGAGCAGCCACUCUGAAACGGAGACCGGCCCCAGUCGCCUAGGGGGGGGGGCAGGGGGAAAUAUGGAGCAAGGGGGGAAGACUUGUCCCAGCCAGGCGGGGGGGGGAAAGAGGCCUUCCGGGUUGUAAAACCCUUUUGUUGGGAAAAAAAAGCCGCGUGUUAAGGCCCCGCUUUUUGACGGGUCCCAAAGAAUAAGCCACGGCUAACCUUGUG